UCCCAGUUUCUCAUUGUCUCAGCAAGUACUCAUACCAGCCCUUUGGCUGUGGUGACAGAUUGUCUGCUUGUGUCCCCUUGUGUUUUCCUUGUGUUCCUGUGCUACUGUCCCACUGUGCAUUUUUCUUGCUGCUUCUGCCUGCAUUCCUCUUUACCAGCUUGUCAUCCCAUCUGCUUGGGGUAUCUAGGAGUCAGAGCCCUUAGAAGGAAGUGUGGGUUUCAGAGGCGUCUAUUCCCCCAAGCUGCCCAGCUCCACAGAGACUCAGCUGCCCAGGGACCCUGAGCCUCCACCGCCUCGAUCACAAGCCUGUUCCAGAUUCGGCUGUUCCUGCUGAUGUCCUGCAUGUUCCUGCGUUGGGAAUCCCGGCCCCGAUGUUUCGUCUGUUCCUGGGUUGGCUGACCCGAACUCUUCAACUUUGAAUGUCUGAGUGGCCCAGCCAGAGUCCUGACUUGAAACCCAAUCAAACAUCUCUCGGGAGACUGUCCACCGAUGGUCCCCAUCCAACCUGACAGAACUUGAGAGGCUCUGCCGAGAGGAAUGGCAGAACAGAUCCAAAUCCAGCACCUGUGGCUAGUGAGGCUACCAGGCCUAAACAACAGCAGGACGGGAACAUGGAUACUGAGGAUGAUGAAGCCCAAGGUGAGGGAUGAGGAUAAGAAGUGGCUGUGGCUGACCAAUAUUUAUCAGGGACUGGGCUGGAAGACGAGGUCCUGCCAAUGCCUACUGCAGAAGAGCAUUGCUCUGACAGUGAGAAGUGGCAGCGCAGCUUGGAGACUUCAAUGACACCAGCAACUGGCCUGUGAAUCUAAAUGCCUGGACAGUUGACUUUAUUCAU